rnacentral:rRNA from 1 species
GACGAACGCUGGCGGCGUGCUUAACACAUGCAAGUCGAACGAGAAUCUGCGGAAAGAGGAUUCGUCCAAUUGAAGCAGAGGACAGUGGCGGACGGGUGAGUAACGCGUGAGGAACCUGCCUUUCAGAGGGGGACAACAGUUGGAAACGACUGCUAAUACCGCAUGACACAUCGGAGUCGCAUGGCUCUGAUGUCAAAGAUUUAUCGCUGAAAGAUGGCCUCGCGUCUGAUUAGCUAGUUGGUGAGGUAACGGCCCACCAAGGCGACGAUCAGUAGCCGGACUGAGAGGUUGAACGGCCACAUUGGGACUGAGAUACGGCCCAGACUCCUACGGGAGGCAGCAGUGGGGAAUAUUGGGCAAUGGGCGCAAGCCUGACCCAGCAACGCCGCGUGAAGGAAGAAGGCUUUCGGGUUGUAAACUUCUUUGUCAGGGACGAGUAGAAGACGGUACCUGACGAAUAAGCCACGGCUAACUACGUGCCAGCACGG